AAAUACGCCACCCUUUUUUUCCAAGUGCCCAAACACUUGAAUGAUUCAAUUAAGCCGCAUCUUAGAUCUAAUUUGUUUGUGUUUCAAUUUCAAUCCAAUCCAUUAUUAAAUUCAAGUGUUUUGGCGAUUGACUUUUUGACCGCGUGAGUUCGCUGCCGCCAUGUUCCAGUCCAGUAAAUUGCCUGCCCGGUUUGUAACCGCGAAGAUGAGCAUCGCCACAAGACUGCGUCCUCGGGCUCGAGCUCCGUAUGGCCAGCGGAAGGGCUUGGUCUCCCGGAUUCCCGGAUAGAAGCCAACUUUUGUGAUAAAGUUCCUUUCCGGACCCAUUUGGAAGGAUGCGAAAGAGCUGCAGAUGCCGAACCAGGAAGCGGUGCCAGUGAGAAGCAAGAUUCGGAUGCAGGGGCCAAGCUAUGCGUCAUUCGGAUGGUCAAGGCACAGUUUGAGUCGAUGGAACCACCGCGGUUCCACCAAAGAGAAUUCCGCAUCAACAAGAAGAUUCUCCAGUGGCCUCCAUCUCCGCCGGCACCGGUGUUUCACUCGCCGACGCUGAGGAACCUCCUAGGAAGCAGGCACGAAA